rnacentral:rRNA from 1 species
AGAGUUUGAUCCUGGCUCAGGACGAACGCUGGCGGUGUGCUUCACACAUGCAAGUCGAGCGAAUGAAGAAGGUAGCUUGCUACUUUUGGAUUUAGCGGCGGACGGGUGAGUAAUAUAUAGGAAUCUGCCCUAGAGCGGGGAACAACAGACCGAAAGGUUUGCUAAUGCCCCAUAGGUAUGCAGUCUUCGGAUUGUUUAUUAAAGGAGUAAUCCACUCUAAGAUGAGCCUGUAUCCGAUUAGCUAGUUGGCGGGGUAAAGGCCCACCAAGGCUACGAUCGGUAGUUGGUCUGAGAGGAUGAUCAGCCACAAUGGGACUGAGACACGGCCCAUACUCCUACGGGAGGCAGCAGUGGGGAAUUUUACGCAAUGGGGGAAACCCUGACGUAGCGACACCGCGUGAACGAAGAAGCCUUUUGGGGUGUAAAGUUCUGUCGGCUGGAACGAAAAAAAUGACGGUACCAGCAAAGGAAGCAUCGGCUAACUACGUGCCAGCAGCCGCGGUAAGACGUAGGAUGCAAGCGUUGUCCGGAUUUAUUGGGCGUAAAGAGUUCGUAGGCGGUUUGUUGAGUCUGAUGUUAAAGACCGGGGCUCAACCUCGGAAAUGCAUUGGAUACUGGCAGACUGGAGUGCAGUAGAGGCUAGUGGAAUUCCCAGUGUAGCGGUGAAAUGCGUAGA